GGGCCGGUAGAUCAGUUGGAAGAUCGCAGGCUUUGCAAGCCUGAGGCCACGGGUUCAAAUCCCGUCCGGUCCA
rnacentral:tRNA from 2 species